GAUCAUGGCUCAGGACGAACGCUGGCGGCGCGCCUAACACAUGCAAGUCGAACGGAGCUGAGAGGAGCUUGCUUUUCCCAGCUUAGUGGCGAACGGGUGAGUAACGCGUGAGUAACCUGCCCUGGAGUGGGGGACAACAGUUGGAAACGACUGCUAAUACCGCAUAAGCCCACGGCCCGGCAUCGGGCUGAGGGAAAAGGAUUUAUUCGCUUCAGGAUGGACUCGCGUCCAAUUAGCUAGUUGGUG
rnacentral:rRNA from 1 species